GUUGUAUGGUUAAGUGACAAAGCGUAUACGGUGGAUGCCUUGGCAGUUAGAGGCGAUGAAGGACGUGUAAGUCUGCGAAAAGCUGUGGUGAGCUGACAAAACGCAUUUGAGCCACAGAUGUCCGAAUGGGGAAACCCACCUGUUUACAGGUAUCAACAACUGAAUACAUAGGUUGUUGAGGCAAACGAGGGGAACUGAAACAUCUAAGUACCCUUAGGAAAAGAAAUCAACCGAGAUUCCCUUAGUAGCGGCGAGCGAACGGGGAGCAGCCCUUAAGCAUUGAAUGAGUUAGUGGAAGCCUCUGGGAAGUGGCGCGAUACCGGGUGACAGCCCCGUACACGACGGCAAAAUCAAUGUGAAAUCGAGUAGGUCGGGACACGUGUUAUCUUGACUGAAAAUGGGGGGACCAUCCUCCAAGGCUAAAUACUCCUAACUGACCGAUAGUGAACCAGUACCGUGAGGGAAAGGCGAAAAGAACCCCUGUGAGGGGAGUGAAAUAGAACCUGAAACCGUAUACGUACAAGCAGUGGGAGCACCAUCACUAAGUGCCUUUAGUGAUAAUGCUCACAAAGCACAACCAACUGAUUAACGAGUAACGUUGACCUGCGCAAGCAGCCAACGGUAAACCUCACCAAUCAAGCAGGGUGCUUAGUGAUGGUGUGACUGCGUACCUUUUGUAUAAUGGGUCAGCGACUUAUAUUUGGUAGCGAGGUUAAGCGUAUAGCGGAGCCGUAGCGAAAGCGAGUGUUAACUGCGCGUUUAGUUGCCAGGUAUAGACCCGAAACCCGGUGAUCUAGCCAUGGGCAGGUUGAAGGUUGAGUAACAUCAACUGGAGGACCGAACUCACUGACGUUGAAAAGUCAGGAGAUGACUUGUGGCUGGGGGUGAAAGGCCAAUCAAACCGGGAGAUAGCUGGUUCUCCCCGAAAUCUAUUUAGGUAGAGCCUCGGACGAAUUCCAUUGGGGGUAGAGCACUGUUAAGGCUAGGGGGUCAUCCCGACUUACCAACCCUUUGCAAACUCCGAAUACCAUUGAGAACUAUCCGGGAGACACACGGCGGGUGCUAACGUCCGUCGUGGAGAGGGAAACAACCCAGACCGCCAGCUAAGGUCCCCAAAUAUUGCUAAGUGGGAAACGAUGUGGGAAGGCACAGACAGCUAGGAGGUUGGCUUAGAAGCAGCCAUCCUUUAAAGAAAGCGUAAUAGCUCACUAGUCGAGUCGGCCUGCGCGGAAGAUGUAACGGGGCUAAGCAAUAUACCGAAGCUGCGGCAAUGCGAUUUAUCGUAUUGGGUAGGGGAGCGUUGUGUAAGUGGAUGAAGGUGAACUGUAAGGUUUGCUGGACAUAUCACAAGUGCGAAUGCUGACAUGAGUAACGAUAAUGGGGGUGAAAAACCCCCACGCCGGAAGACCAAGGUUUCCUGUCCCAUGCUAAUCAGGGCAGGGUAAGUCGGCCCCUAAGGCGAGGCAGAAAUGCGUAGUCGAUGGGAAACGGGUUAAUAUUCCCGUACUUGUAUAAUCAGUGAUGGAGGGACGGAGAAGGCUAAGCAAGCAUGGCGUUGGUUGUCCAUGUGAAAGUGCGUAGGCUGAAAACUUAGGUAAAUCCGGGUUUUCAAGGCCGAGACACGAGACGAGCUCCCAAGGGAGUGAAGUUGUUGAUGCCCUGCUUCCAGGAAAAGCUUCUAAACGUAUGAUUAUGUGAACCGUACCCCAAACCGACACAGGUGGUCAGGUAGAGAAUACUAAGGCGCUUGAGAGAACUCGGGUGAAGGAACUCGGCAAAAUAGUACCGUAACUUCGGGAGAAGGUACGCCACCGGCGGUGAACGCUUUACGCGGUAAGCUGUUGGUGGUCGCAGUGACCAGGUGGCUGGGACUGUUUAUUAAAAACACAGCACUCUGCAAACUCGUAAGAGGACGUAUAGGGUGUGACACCUGCCCGGUGCCGGAAGGUUAAUUGAUGGGAUUAGCGUAAGCGAAGUUCUUGAUCGAAGCCCCGGUAAACGGCGGCCGUAACUAUAACGGUCCUAAGGUAGCGAAAUUCCUUGUCGGGUAAGUUCCGACCUGCACGAAUGGUGUAACCAUGGCCACGCUGUCUCCACCCGAGACUCAGUGAAAUUGAAAUCGCAGUGAAGAUGCUGUGUACCCGCACCUAGACGGAAAGACCCCGUGAACCUUUACUACAGCUUGGCACUGAACAUUGAACCUACUUGUGUAGGAUAGGUGGGAGGCUUUGAAAUGCAGACGCCAGUUUGCAUGGAGCCGUCCUUGAAAUACCACCCUGGUAUGUUUGAUGUUCUAACUUAGACCCCUUAUCGGGGUUAAGGACAGUGUCUGGUGGGUAGUUUGACUGGGGCGGUCUCCUCCCAAAUAGUAACGGAGGAGCACGAAGGUUAGCUAAUCACGGUCGGACAUCGUGAGGUUAGUGCAAUGGCAUAAGCUAGCUUAACUGCGAGACAGACACGUCGAGCAGGUACGAAAGUAGGUCAUAGUGAUCCGGUGGUUCUGUAUGGAAGGGCCAUCGCUCAACGGAUAAAAGGUACUCCGGGGAUAACAGGCUGAUACCGCCCAAGAGUUCAUAUCGACGGCGGUGUUUGGCACCUCGAUGUCGGCUCAUCACAUCCUGGGGCUGAAGUCGGUCCCAAGGGUAUGGCUGUUCGCCAUUUAAAGUGGUACGCGAGCUGGGUUUAGAACGUCGUGAGACAGUUCGGUCCCUAUCUGGUGUGGGCGUUGGAUGAUUGAUGGGAGCUGCUCCUAGUACGAGAGGACCGGAGUGGACGAACCGCUGGUGUUCGGGUUGUGAUGCCAAUCGCAUUGCCCGGUAGCUAUGUUCGGAACGGAUAACCGCUGAAAGCAUCUAAGCGGGAAGCCGGCCCAGAGAUGAGUCAUCCCUGAACUUUAAGUUCUGGAAGGGUUGUUUAAGACUAAGACGUUGAUAGGCAGGGUGUGGAAGCGUUGUAAGGCGUUAAGCUAACCUGUACUAAUUGCCCGAGAGGCUUAACCAUACAACCCAAAGCG
rnacentral:rRNA from 1 species